UGGACAUGAAAGUGCAUAUCUGUAACCUCAGAACUUAGGUUGAGGUACAGGAGUUUUGGGUUUGAAGCCAGCUGAAGGUACCAACCCCACUGAAGACAACGUUCCAAUGCUGAACUCCUCAAGAAGCGCUUGAUUCCCCCUGAGCCCCAGCCAGGCACAGCUUUCUGCAAUAUUCCCAGACCUCCGAUCUCCACAGACUUUGGCACACUGCAAUCUGCGGCACUGUUAUGUGCUCCUAAGCACACAAGGAGGACCACAUGAGUGUUUCGUAAACAUUCUGAGCUGGCGAGCCAAGAGCC